rnacentral:lncRNA from 1 species
UAUAGGCUGUGAACUAACCAUCCAACAGGGCCCGUCUCUCCAACGGAAACUUGCUGCCACUUAAAUCUGCAUCGCUGCGGCCGCCUCGACGAGCUGGAACCGGGUGACGAGCGGGAGCGCCUCCGUCUGCAUCGCUGCAACCAGACCAGACCCCCACACAGUGAGCAAGCAAGCAAGCAUAGCGCCAGGAGCGGCAGGGAGGGAAAAGCGCACGCACCUAUGACGACGAGGACCUUGGAGAUGGCGCCGGCUGCGGAGGCCUCGGCGGAGGCGGCAGCCGGCUCUUCGGAGGACGGCGGCGCCAUGGCCGGAGGGGCGGGGCUUCGGCGGAGGGCCGGCCAGCGGCGACGGAGGGGAGGCCGGGG